rnacentral:misc_RNA from 1 species
AAGUCGUAACAAGGUUUCCGUAGGUGAACCUGCGGAAGGAUCAUUAAAAAUUGAGGAAUUUACCGUGUGCAAAGGUUGUGGUGGGGAUUGAUAUGAUUGGCUUGUGAUUUUUAUUGUGAUUGAUGUGUUAGUUUAUGUUAACCGAUUUAUAUUUAACUCGUUUUUUAUUAUACUUCAAUCUGUCAAUGUCAAUCUGCCAAUCAGUUCAUUUUUCCUAUCCAAUCAUAUAUACUAUUCGUCAAAUCAUAAAAAUAAUAAUAAUUUGCGGCAAUGGAUCUCUAGGCUCUU